CACGUAGGCACCAAGCGUUGUCCGGAUUUAUUGGGCGUAAAGAGCUCGUAGGCGGUUCAGUAAGUCAGGUGUGAAAUCUUUGGGCUUAACCCAAAGCGUGCAUUUGAUACUGCUGUGACUUGAGUUCGGUAGGGGAGUGGGGAAUUCCUAGUGUAGCGGUGAAAUGCGCAGAUAUUAGGAGGAACACCGGUGGCGAAGGCGCCACUCUGGGCCGAAACUGACGCUGAGGAGCGAAGGCGUGGGUAGCAAACAGG
rnacentral:rRNA from 1 species